GAUUUAUAAAUGGUGACAACUGUUGUUAAAAUCCUUACCAUAACUACAGCAGGAAAAUAAAAGUGAGCAACAAUCUAACAUAACUUAAUACAAGACAGAAUGAACAGUCAAGACAACGUGGCACAACUUUUUUGGGGAAAAACAUACUUCACAAAACUCAGAUGUUCUUGUAUGUUCUCUUUUCCUUUUUUUUCCUCCCAAAUAUAUAUAUAUUUUUACAAAAGCACUCUGCAUUUUGUGUUGACUUAACCACCUUUGUGAAGAUACACAUCAUGCAUGCAUCCACACACACAAAAACACCCCAGAACAAGGCCCAGUUGCUAGAACAGGCUUUAUCAGCAUGUUCCAUUACACCUGCCGCUGAUGCCAUCUAAAUAUAGGAGAACAGAAUUUAUUUUUCCAUUAAAAUGUCAGAGCUAGUUCAUUACUUUCCAAUACGUUAAUUGCAAUUUAGGAGGGAUACAAACUAAGGGAAGAUGCCAAAUACCCAGAUUUCAUAUUUUUUCAGACAACAAAAAAAAAAAAGUAUGAUCCAACAUCUGCGAAACAAAAACAAUGGUAAAAUCACAGCAAGAUAAUCCCCGAAUAAGGUGAAAUCCAUCUGCCAUUUGAACAAGUUAAUAAGAAUACAAAUAAAACCCUAGCAUACACAGUAAAAUUCCAAAGACAUCCCCUGGCUUAGUUUGGCAACAUUGAUUAUUACAUGGCCAAUUAUGUUAGGUCAUAAACAGAAUGUCCUCAUUAGAAGGAUGUUGAUUGUUAGAAGCCAAAAAGGAUACAUUUUAGACAUUUAAUUUGGUUAAUUACAAAAUGUUACUCUAACUAUAUAAUCUACAUUCAAAGUGCUGAUCAGUUAUCAUAAUGUAUGCAGAUUAAAUUAACAAAUGGAGAAAUCCUCCACUAUCUCAGGGUGACACUAUCUCAGCCAAGGCCUUGACACUACAGCAAGAGGAACAAAAAGCUAGCACAUGUUCCUCCACUGAGUGUUAAGGCCAAGAAGGUUGGAACCCAAUCCUAUGAUUUUUACCCAAUUCUUCUCUGAAGGUAAAUCAGACCUUCAGACCAACGUUUCACCUAAAUCCAUCAAUGUCAACAGAAGACUUCUACAAAGUGAAUAUUUGCAUAUUUCUAGUUAAAAUUGGGCCCCGCGUCAAUCUCACUCUGAAGCUCUCCUACAGUACAAACAAGUGGUCACUGCCUAAUGGCCUGUUCUGUGCAAUAACCCAAUGAGAAAGAGACUGCCCAGAAAAACUAAACCUUAAAAAUAACAUUUACGCUAAGCAGCGGCAUUCAUUCAAGCACUGAGAUGGUAAGCAGGUGUAAUGUAAAGCAUUAACUGUAUAAACUGUGAUUAACAGAAAUUGAAAAGACAACAGAAAAGGUAUAGCCUUUGUUCAGUGUUGGUUACCAAACCCACCAAGUCUAUAGUGAGAAAGACACCCCGCCCCCGAACAGUCCAUCAUUAACAUAAGACUUAAGACUCAACUUUGAAAAUGAAAACAGACUAGACCUUAACGGACAGGGAUGCAUAUUCUCAUGAUUUAACCGUCAACUCACAAGUUCCAGCCACCCAUCUGUCCACCCCAUGUGGGAAUUCUCAUUAGUGUAACUCAACAGGGAGACUACAAGAAAAAUCAUGUGAAUCAACCUCGCAAUACUCCAAAAUCAAGUUAAGACAUUUGUUUUGUGGGGGCUUCAAAGCCUCCCCUGAUAUUUGGCUGCAUUCUAGAAUUACAACAGAAAACCCAACUUUAAAAUUUUUGUUCCAACAUCUAGAAGGCUCUUAUGUCAAGCAAUUUCCAUUGAUUUCAGUCUGAAUUCUAUAUUUUGCAGAGGUAACACUUCAGAGUCCAUACAAUGUGAACAUUUUGUAAUCCUAAACAAAUCUGAUUUAAUAGUUUAUCUCCCUUGAAAGACUAAGGGAGGAGAGGCCAUCUCUCUCCAAUUUCCUGUGACUCCAAAGAUUGGGGGAGGACACCGAAGGUGGCAACCAAAAGACUGACUGAGCAUCCCACACGACACCAAGCUUGUCUCUGAACAUGGGAAUUGAGGAAGAAAUGCCUGUGACACUGGCUGACGUUUCCUGUCAAAAUGCUUGUUCCCGCACUAUUCAACCGUCCUGUAAUGUCCCAACUGACAGCAUCUCUAUAAGAGCUACUGUACAGUCUCCCCUAAAUAGCACAAGCUGUCCAGAUGAAAAGACUUGCACAUGAGUCUCAGGGAGGAGAAGGAGCAUUUCCGAGUGUCCACCAGGACACUGUUACAUGAGGCAGCAGCCAGAAGACGACGCAGCCCUCAGUCAUGACUUAACGGAACUGGCCCAUCCUUGGUCUGAUCAUAAAACACUACUCUUUUUGGAUC
ensembl:lncRNA